GGGUGCCUAGCUCAACUGGAAGAGCAGCGGUCUCCAAAGCCGCCGGUUGCAGGUUCGAGUCCUGCGGCACUUGCUA
rnacentral:tRNA from 2 species